rnacentral:rRNA from 1 species
UACAGAGGAGCCAAGCGUUGUCCGGAUUGACUGGGCGUAAAGCGCACGCAGGCGGAUGCGCGCGUGGGGUGUGAAAUCUGGCCGCUUAACGGCCAGGCGCCAUCCCAUACGGCGCGUCUGGAGCCUUGCAGAGGUCGGUGGAAUUGCCGGUGUAGUGGUGAAAUGCGUAGAGAUCGGCAGGAACACCCAGGGGGAAACCAGCCGACUGGGCAAG